AUUAUACAAAAAUAAAUAAAAAUGAAGUCUGGAAAAUUAAAAAGAAACUUUUGGCUCACAGCGGAAAUUGAAUGCAUGCUUAAUUUAAUAAAAGAAGUGAAAUGUACACAGGGGUCUACACAAACUACUACGCACCAUACAUUCACUCAAAUUGCCAGUAAAAUGAAAAAACAUGGAUUUCCAAACAAAUCACCAACACAAGUUCGAAGAAAAUGGUUUCAAAUGAAAUCUGCAUACCUGUGUUAUAAAAAGGGGAAUAUUGACCGUCUAUUUCUUAUACCAGAAAAGUUCCGAACCGUUAUUGCACAAUUUGUUGAAAAUAAUAAAAUGCGUAGAAUUGCUUCAAUAACAUCAACUCAAAAUCAAAUGAAAUCUAAACGCAAUAUUAAAACACAUGUGGACGCAUUGGACGCAUUUAUGGCUGAAGUAAAGCAGAAUAACGACACACUAAAUGAUGAAUUCAGCAAAAUGGAGGCAUCUCUUUUAAGUUAUGAGCAAAGAUGGCAAUCAAUGCGAGACUACAAUAUAAUAAAAUAUUUCCGUAACUAACAAAGAAAAUAUAUGCAUACAUUAUUCUUGGUAUAUACAAUAAAGGUAGUAACGACUGUGCGAAUUCAAAUUUAGUGUCCUAAAUUGCUUAAGGCGAACUUUGAUAAUAAGAUCGGAAAUACUAACAACUGACACAACAUCAAAGUUAAACCACAGAAGCAAAACGCAGCAAACAAUAUUGGUACUGCUCAAUACCGUCUCAAUAACAUUGCUCUGCAAAUGUCAGCUUUUAGAAUUUUCGAAUGAACCUUUCAUGUCUAAUAUGCUUCACUUACGCAAAUAUGGAAAAUCCGGGAAUACUUCAUUUUCUCUCAAAAAAAAAUUGUUUACGCAAACGGCAAGUGAUAAAAAUCUAAAAUUUUUGCUUACGUAUUCAGAUUUCUUCACUCUGAGCGCUUCCAAUUUGUUUUUUGUAAAUCAAUCUUUUGCUCUGUGUUUGUUGUACAUUUUUUUGUCGUGCUCCCAAAUUCAAAGUUCCAGCCCAACUCUGCUUAAAAUAGAUUUUAGUAUGAUUAUCGCGCUCUUAUUCAAGCAUUCAUGAUGAUAUCCAUAAAUUUCCCCAAUUAUUCGGCUGGCAGAAGUGCUAGAGUUCAAGCUCCAUAAAAUUCAAUCAGUGCGUGGCGUGGUGAAGCUUGUCAAAUCGAAGGAGCAUAUCUUUGAUAAGUUUGGGUUAUCGGGUGGUCAUUGCGUGUAUAGAUGGCACUCAUGUGAAUCUUAUGAAGUCCCAGGUGUUCCAGGGGUAGUUUAGUUUCAAUAGUUCAGUGUCGUUUGAGCGUCUUGUGCUUUUGAUGUGUUAGCUUGAAAAUAUGUGAGUUGACUCUCAUAUACAGACAUAAUAAUUUGCGACACUUAUGUGGAUUUUAUGAUGCAUGGUGCGUUGCAUGACUUCUUUCAAUAAAGCUUGACCUAUGCUCUUGAUUUUUUCCAGAGAGUAUGCAUGUAGAAUCAGCUUGACUAACCACUGUAGUCUUUUGUGGUGAUCAGCAUUAUUUUAAUUUCCGCCAUGCGUCGACUCGUUAUAUUGUAGAGCGCACAGUUUGUGUGCUGAAAAGUAGGUUUAGGUCAUUGCUCUACAAACAUUUAAUAUUGUCUACGUUUUUAAUAUUGUAUAAUAAUAUAUGUCGGGUUAACACUGUUGUCAGACAUAAUGGAGUAGUUUAAUCAUGAUUAAAGAUUGCGCCCGGCGAAUAGACUUGAGUGCACUGCUGCUAACUUAAGAGUGAGUGUUCUUGCCGCAAACACCUCACAUGCUACCUUGCAGUUUCUGUCAAAGACCUCUCACCGUCUCUGUCUUUCGCAGUGACUCAAGCAUACACGUACGACAAUCGUAUUGUGCGUAACUCUCUCAAACUUCUAACCUGACGCAUCGAGCCCGUUUCGAACUAUUUUGGCCACCUGGCGAGUAAACGGAACAAAGCGUACUACAAUGUAACCGACCGAGAAUAUGAAAAGCAACGUGCCAAAUUAUUUGUCAUACACUGAGAACAAUAAUUUUAGAUCCGACAUAUAUAAUAAGAACAUAAAAAAGGAGCAGUCGGCAGCAUGGGAAUAAUUUGAAAUGAGAUAGAAACCCGGUGCUUGUAAAGCCCGUCAUCAGUUGGUCAUUGUAUGAAACAGAAUUUUAAACCAACUUUUAAUUUACGCCAAAGAAAUGUACGUUUAUAAAAAUGCGUAGAAGUGUAUACCAAUUAAGUCCCUCGUAGUUCUGUAUUUGUGAGGAUUAGAUCAUCAAAUUAAUGACUGAUUUGGGAACUUUAAGAUGAGCCCAGCCACAGGCAUCGUUAGAACACGCGGUGUGUUUAUUAUCUAGGGCUGCAAAAAAAAAAUUGGAUACGCCAUUUUAAAUUUUUAAAGUCGGAGCUCAGAAACGUAAUGAGUUCCUUCUUAAUAAGAAUUUCUUAUUCGGCUUUUCCGUGUCGUUUCAGAGUACACUUAGUUUAUAGACUUUCUAUGCAUCCAAAAUCAGUGCAGCAACUUCCCCCGAGCAUGCUAUACAUAUGUACAUCAAAUUAGUCCUGGAAAGGCGAAACACGCCUAUACGCAUGAUAGAUAGGAUAACUUCGCAAUAAAUACAAACACGAUCGACUUAAAUGAAAAA